rnacentral:lncRNA from 1 species
GUGAACAAUAAUGACCCCGUUUCCUGAGUGCUCAUCCUGUGCCACGCAUGGAGCCGCGGCUUGACAAGCAUCUUUACUGCAACCCUAUUCCGCCAGUGAGCCUGAGACCCAGGGAGCUUAGAAACCCGGCCAGAAUCUGGCAGAGGGGGGGCCCUAACCCGCCGUCUGAGCCCACGGUGGCACCCUUAAUCACCAAGCUCCACAGUGUGGAGGACGAGAGAGUGGAACUACCGGAGAAGACACGGGGAUGCGGCUCGGAGAGAGAGGAUGGACUGAAGCGAUUUGAAAGCCUCGGAGGCAACCACUCCAGAAAGUCAGGAGAGGAGAAGCGAGAGGAGAAGAAAAGCCCACAUCCUCUACAACGAAGAGAAAAGGAGACCGGUGGAGGGAGCAGAGGGAGACCAGUCAUGCGUUGUGGAAAGCAUACACGGAUAUUUUUUUCUUUCAUUUAAUCCUCAAACAAGCCUAUGAGAAUGACUACCUUUCAGGUAGCAAAAACGGCUUCAACAACUCCACUCCUCACAUCCACAAACCACACUGCCUCUGAAGAAGGGAGAGCAUACCUUGUCCCAAGUUUCUGAAUAAAAGCCCCAAACUUCCCCUGGCUGGCACUGAUUUUGUCUAUUUGCUCAACACUGAACCGUUCACUGUGGCCAAAGCCCGGGCCCAUUGAUCAGCUUGGGCUGGAUCACACGCUCCCUCUGAAGGCAGCAGGACUGUAGAGCCGCGGGGCCCACAAAUGGACACCAGGGCUUCCUGGAAAGUGACAGACAUGCUGAUGAGGCC